AAAACCAUAAACCUCAAUACCCCGUCCGGUAUGAGGGUGAAACGGGCCGUCCCCAUACCCCGUCCGGUAUGGGCACCAAAACCAUAAACCUCAAUACCCCGUCCGGUAUGAGGGUGAAACGGGCCGUCCCCAUACCCCGUCCGGUAUGGGCGCCAAAACCAUAAGAUCUCCAUACCCCGUCCGGCAUGUGAGACCACAAUCCCGGUAGGGUUCCCUACGGACCCGGUCCGUCCACCAUCUCCC
rnacentral:lncRNA from 1 species